AAAACGUGUCAUUUUUUUCAUGAGAGGUAUGGUUUUGCUUUUGUGAGAGGCACAACCAUGCCUCUCAGAAACGAAAAAACGUGUUUUUUCUCUUUCAGGAGAGGCACGGUUUUACUUUUGCAAGAGGCACAAUCAUGCCUCUCGAAAACGAAAAAACGCGUUUUUUUCUCUUCCGUGAGAGGCACGGCCAUGCCUCUCGAAAACGAGAAAAAUGUGUUUUUUGUUUUUUUCCUUCUGCGAGAGGCACGGUUUUGCUUUUUGCGAGAGGCACGACCGUUGACCGUACAUUUUUCGGAAAGAAAAAAAAACCGUGCUCCUGAUUUGGUUUUUUUCAUGAAAGAAAAAGUUCGUCAAAACCUAUCAACAUGUGAUCUAAUUUUGAAGAUAUCGACACGAGGAAUCCAACGAUGAAAAUGGUUCGAGACUUGGACGCACGGUUUAAGAAGUAAAACGUUUUAAAUAAACAAAUCUAAAAAAAAGAAAACUCACAAGUUGCGACAAAUGACGCAUCGUAAAGCACCUAUUUGUCAUAAUACGAGGAGGUUGGAGUGAUUACGUGGAUGUAGUAAAGCUCUUACUCUCUCCGUUCCAGAAUAUAAAGGUGUAUUGGUUUUUGUGCAAGCCAACCAUUUAAAUGUUUGAUCAAGACCCUAGAAUAAAAUAACAACAUUUGAUAUGCCUAGUAGAUAAAAUAUGAAACUACUUUUCAUGAUGGAUCAAAUGAUAUAAAUUUCGUAUCGUGAAUGUUGAUAUAUUUUUCUAAAAACUCGGUAAAACUUGCACUCAUUUGACUUUUCAAAAAAUAAAUACAAAGAAACGUAGGGAGUAUUGUAGUGCAAAACGGCUCUCCGCUUGAGUCAAGUGAGGUUGCGGACGCACGUGUGGGGGUUCAACCUUGGUCUCCGUCGCCGCCCCUCAGAUCUGGUACCCUUCUUCCCCGGCGCCCGCCGCGCGAUGUUGGGUGACAACCUGAUGGACAAGGUGACCACGAUGAGCAAGCGGCUGAAGGUCACCGGGACGAAGGUCGGCAAUAGAUGACGGUUGGCAUGAGCUUCAAGAUGAGGGAGCUCUUCCAGGGGCAGGAAAGCGUUAAGGGGCCUGACUUGGCCAUGAACCUGGAGAUCUGUGUCUCCCAAAACUACUAGCUAGCUAGCUCUCAGCCUCUCCCAUAAUCGAUGGAGCAGCAGAGCAACUCGUGUAUAUAUGCUCGUGUGAGAGAACAGAGGAAGACUAAACAAACUACAGCUACAGUGCAAGCUGCGGUCACAUGCACACACACUUGAAAUGGAGUAGUAAUAGCUCACAUAGUACUACUUUGCUGCUGAUAGCUUGAUUAAAGUGAAGGAGUCCAACUCCUUAUAUAGGAGCACAAACUGACUAUAGUCAUAGCUGACCUCACUGCUUACAUCAUAGGUCCUUCGAUGACCUUCUACUACUAGUUACAACACGCUACAAUUUUUUUAUCUACUA